AUGUGGCGCAAACCAAACCAAUCUUCACGAUAUGAAGUGGCUAUUUCCUCCAUAACCAAUAGAGGUGCUAACCGCAUCCGUUCGUCACCGUUCACUCCCACAAAUCCAAUCAACCUCGCUUUGCCGGCGACGGAAUUCUCAAUUCUCAAACUUCCCCUCGAAUCUCCACCCUUCAGUGUGCAGAUUGAUGACAACUUGUCUGAUUUGGGCAUCAAGAACAAAAAGAGACCUCUGUAG